GCGGCUUGUGGGGAGCUGCGAGCACAGGAAAAAUGCAGCAACCACGGGGUGCCCACCUCGGUUCCAAGCUGUGCCUUGUAUCAGUGCAGGAUGACAGCUCCUACGGGUGGGGACCGGCUGAGAUGGGAGGAACCCAGCAGUAGCUGCCACUGCCGUGCACACAGCUCCCAGGAGCCUCAAUACAGCACUCAUCCUAUAGCCACAGAGCAUUUUUGCAUGCUCACACCAAGAUCCCGAGUUAUAAACAGCACAGGGGAGAUUUGGUGGGAUAUGAGGAGGCAGUUUUUCCCCCAGAGGGUGGUGACGCACUGAACAGGUUGCCCAAGGAGGCUGUGGGUGCCCCAUCCCUGCAGGCAUUCAAGGCCAGGCUGGAUGUGGCUCUGGGCAGCCUGGGCUGCUGGUUGGCGACCCUGCACAUAGCAGGGGGUUGGAACUGGAUGAGCAUUGUGGGCCUUUGCAACCCAGGCCAUUCUAGGAUCCUAGGAUUCUGUGAUCAAAGAAGGCUCUGGGGAGACCUGGGAGCGGCCUCUCAGUAUCUAAAGAGGGGCUGUAAGAAAGAGGGGAUAGGAUUUUUAGCGGGGUUUGUGG
ensembl:lncRNA